rnacentral:rRNA from 1 species
AUUGAUUUUAUGCUUGCAUAAAUGAUUUUUGGAUUCGGAGCGAGUGGCGAACUGGUGAGUAACACGUGGGUAACCUGCCCCGAAGCGGGGGAUAACAUUUGGAAACAAGUGCUAAUACCGCAUAAUUAGUUGGAACCGCAUGGUUCCAACUUGAAAGAUGGCUCUGCUAUCACUUUGGGAUGGACCCGCGCCGUAUUAGUUAGUUGGUGAGAUAAAAGCCCACCAAGACGAUGAUACGUAGCCGACCUGAGAGGGUAAUCGGCCACAUUGGGACUGAGACACGGCCCAGACUCCUACGGGAGGCAGCAGUAGGGAAUCUUCCACAAUGGACGAAAGUCUGAUGGAGCAACGCCGCGUGAGUGAUGAAGGUUUUCGGAUCGUAAAACUCUGUUGCUAAAGAAGAACAAGUGUUAGAGUAACUGUUAACACUUUGACGGUAUUUAACCAGAAAGCCACGGCUAACUACGUGCCAGCAGCCGCGGUAAUACGUAGGUGGCAAGCGUUGUCCGGAUUUAUUGGGCGUAAAGCGAGCGCAGGCGGUUUUGUAAGUCUGCUGUGAAAGCCCUCAGCUCAACUGAGGAAGUGCAGUGGAAACUACAAAACUUGAGUACAGAAGAGGAAAGUGGAACUCCAUGUGUAGCGGUGAAAUGCGUAGAUAUAUGGAAGAACACCAGUGGCGAAGGCGGCCUUCUGGUCUGUUACUGACGCUGAGGCUCGAAAGCAUGGGUAGCGAACAGGAUUAGAUACCCUGGUAGUCCAUGCCGUAAACGAUGAAUACUAGGUGUUGGAGGGUUUCCGCCCUUCAGUGCCGCAGCUAACGCAUUAAGUAUUCCGCCUGGGGAGUACGACCGCAAGGUUGAAACUCAAAGGAAUUGACGGGGGCCCGCACAAGUGGUGGAGCAUGUGGUUUAAUUCGAUGCUACGCGAAGAACCUUACCAGCUCUUGACAUCUUCUGCCAACCCAAGAGAUUGGGCGUUCCCUUCGGGGACAGAAUGACAGGUGGUGCAUGGUUGUCGUCAGCUCGUGUCGUGAGAUGUUGGGUUAAGUCCCGCAACGAGCGCAACCCUUAUUAUUAGUUGCCAGCAUUUAGUUGGGCACUCUAGUGAGACUGCCGGUGAUAAA